CCCUAAGCAUACGUCUAAAAUAUGAACCUGAAUAACAUCUGCUGCAUUACAAAAUUAACAUACGUGAAAGAAGCAUGCCAUCAAGGCAUAUGUACGUAUACAGACAGAAUACAGUGGGCGAGCCGGCAAGGCUGCUAUAGACAACUAUACAUCAAAAACUGAAAGCCGACAAGGCCACAUAUAACCCAACUAGACAUACUGUCUACAGACCUCUAACUGAAACAUAACUAUACAAAGACAGGACUGAGCCAUGUCAUACUCAUAUACAUAUAUAUGUACAAACGUAUCGUACCAAUAUCAAAAGUAGCUCCGGAUCAAAUGGAGCAUGCCAACUCUCGCUGAUCAGGGAUCCUAAGAAGGAGGACCGUCAGCUUGACUACCUGCACCUGCGGGCAUGAAACGCAGGCCCCGUGAAAUAGGGCGUCUGUACGAAAAAUGUACUGAGUAUGUAAGGCAUGGAAAUUAGUACGUAAUAGACAUAGAUGAAACAUGGAAUACUGAAACACAUCUUUAAAUCUGAAUAACUUUGUAUAUUUUGAAACGUUUAUAACAUCAUGCACGUGCGUGUAAAUGUCAAGCCAUGCAUAGGUAUGGAUUUACAUAAUAUUAUCAGCCUCUGAGGGCAUCCCAUCACAUCAUAUCGGCCACUGUGGGAAAAGUCACAAUCGUAUACCAGCUGAUCAGGUGGUGGUGCGUAUAUAACGCCAUAACCAUUCCCAUAUCCCAUAUACAUAUAUAUAUACACAUACAUAUAUACGCGUAUAUAACGCCGUUUGAAUACAUACAUAUAUAUGCGUAUAUAACGCCAUUUGAAUACAUACCCAUAUAUGCGUAUAUAACGCCGUUUGAAUCAUAUUUCAGCCACUGUGGGCAACAUCAUCAUCAUAUAUCAGCUGAUCAGGUGGUGGUGCGUAUAUAACACCGUAACCUUUUCUCAUAUCCCAUAUACAUAUAUUUACAUAUAUACGCAUAUAUAACGCCAUCUGGUCAUGGGUCAAUGCACAUGUAUAAAUGAGUAAAAUGCAUGAAAAUACAUAAUAAUCUCGAUAUUCCUUCCGGAUAAACUUUUCCAGCUGCGUAUUAUUCUGAGACCCAUGAACAGAAGAUAAUAAUAAUUCUCAUGGGGAAUCAAGAAUAUAGACACCCCUACUAUUUCUAUGAAUAGAAUAAUUUAUAGAAAUCGUGUAUUUGCUCGUUUCUUUCGUAUAAUCUGGACCAUGCCAAAAGAAAGAAGGGAGGGUCUUAACAUACCUGGAGUAGGAAAAACUCCGUAUAAUAUCCCGUUGGAAAACCUUUUGAUUGAAUUUAGAACUCAAAAAAUUGGAUUAAGCUCCUGCUUUUUUUUUGAAACAAAAUUUGCUUCUGCUUCAACGUUUCCUUUGCGCUAAAUUUGAAAUGAAAUUUGCUUCUGAAUUUGGCGUUGAAAUGCUUGAACCAAGAAAGAAAGGUUCUUUAGGAAUUUUUGGUUAUUUCUUGGUUCUGGCAGCGUUAGACUCUUUUUGUUUGAAAGCCAACUUCUAAUUUUCUAAUUGUAGUAAAUAUGACUUUAUUUUGGAAUGAAGGCUUCUAACGUUGAAGUCUUGCUUUUGAACUUACCCUUUCUUGAUUCCAAGCCAAUGUAAUGAAAUGAGCCAAAGACUCUUAAUGUAGCUAGGGGC
rnacentral:lncRNA from 1 species